UACGGGGGGGGCAAGCGUUGUUCGGAAUUACUGGGCGUAAAGGGCGCGUAGGCGGUCAGAUAAGUCAGCUGUGAAAACCUCGGGCUUAACCCGAGGCCUGCAGUUGAAACUGUUUGGCUGGAGUGUGGGAGAGGAGAGUGGAAUUCCCGGUGGAGCGGUGAAAUGCGUAGAGAUCUGGAAGAACACCAAAGGCGAAGGCAGCGUCCUGGCUCGUAUCUGACGCUCAUGUGCGAAAGCUAGGGGAGCGAACGGG
rnacentral:rRNA from 1 species